rnacentral:rRNA from 1 species
GACGAACGCUGGCGGCGUGCUUAACACAUGCAAGUCGAACGGAAAGACCCUGCUUUUGUGGGGUGCUCGAGUGGCGAACGGGUGAGUAACACGUGAGUAACCUGCCCUUGACUUUGGGAUAACUUCAGGAAACUGGGGCUAAUACCGGAUAGGAGCUCCUGCUGCAUGGUGGGGGUUGGAAAGUUUCGGCGGUUGGGGAUGGACUCGCGGCUUAUCAGCUUGUUGGUGGGGUAGUGGCUUACCAAGGCUUUGACGGGUAGCCGGCCUGAGAGGGUGACCGGCCACAUGGGGACUGAGAUACGGCCCAGACUCCUACGGGAGGCAGCAGUGGGGAAUAUGGCACAAUGGGCGGAAGCGUGAUGCAGCAACGCCGCGUGCGUGAUGACGGCCUUCGGGUUGUAAACCGCUUUCGCCUGUGACGAAGCGUGAGUGACGGUAAUGGGUAAAGAAGCACCGGCUAACUACGUG